rnacentral:tRNA from 1 species
GCUCGUAUGGCGCAGUGGUAGCGCAGCAGAUUGCAGCAGAUUGCAAAUCUGUUGGUCCUUAGUUCGAUCCUGAGUGCGAGCU